UACGUAGGCAGCGAGCGUUGUUCGGAGUUACUGGGCGUAAAGGGUGUGUAGGCGGUUGCUUAAGUUUGGUGUGAAAUCUCCCGGCUCAACUGGGAGGGUGCGCCGAAUACUGAGUGACUCGAGUGCGGGAGAGGAGAGUGGAAUUCCUGGUGUAGCGGUGAAAUGCGUAGAUAUCAGGAGGAACACCGGUGGUGUAGACGGCUAUCUGGACCGUAACUGACGCUGAGGCACGAAAGCGUGGGGAGCAAACAGG
rnacentral:rRNA from 1 species